rnacentral:piRNA from 1 species
UGAGGAAGAGGGAGCCAUGUGGGUAC